rnacentral:rRNA from 1 species
UACGGAGGAUGCGAGCGUUAUCCGGAUUUAUUGGGUUUAAAGGGUGCGUAGGCGGUCCGUUAAGUCAGCGGUAAAAUUGCGGGGCUCAACCCCGUCGAGCCGUUGAAACUGGCGUUCUUGAGUGAGCGAGAAGUACGCGGAAUGCGCGGUGUAGCGGUGAAAUGCUUAGAUAUCGCGCAGAACCCCGAUUGCGAAGGCAGCCUGCCGGCCCCACACUGACGCUGAGGCACGAAAGCGUGGGUAUCGAACAGG